rnacentral:lncRNA from 1 species
CCGGGGAGGAGUGCAGGGGGAGGCCUUAGAUCAACGAUGGCCCUGAGCAGAUCCACGGGGGUCAAGCCUGCGGCCACCACAGCCAGAAGAAUCCGGGAGAGAACGAUUUCUCUGAAAGAGAUGGGUGUGAAGGCACAUCCCAACCUUGUGCACCAGGCAGGGCCAUCCAGUCUCGGCCCCACGCUGGCCUCUGGCCGGCCGCCAGCCAGGGAAGAAGUGACUACCGACUUGGAGAGGUGAGGAAGAGGCACAGAGAGGUUAUACUGUACCCUAGAUCUCACAGCUAGCCAGUGGAUAACCCCUCCCCUGCACUCCAGGGAUUGGCCUUGCGGGAUCUUCCUACCCCUCCCUACCCAGAACGGUCCCAGCAUGGGUCAUGAGGAUACACAGCAGUGCCUUCCUCCAAGUCUGGCUCAUUUGGUUUCUACAUUCUCACCAUGUGCAGCCUCUCCUCUCCUGGAAGGAUAGUCCAUAGGUGU